rnacentral:rRNA from 1 species
UCUUUUCCUUUUUUUCCUGCAGCCGCGGUAAUACGGAAGGUCCGGGCGUUAUCCGGAUUUAUUGGGUUUAAAGGGAGCGUAGGCCGGAGAUUAAGCGUGUUGUGAAAUGUAGACGCUCAACGUCUGCACUGCAGCGCGAACUGGUUUCCUUGAGUACGCACAAAGUGGGCGGAAUUCGUGGUGUAGCGGUGAAAUGCUUAGAUAUCACGAAGAACUCCGAUUGCGAAGGCAGCUCACUGGAGCGCAACUGACGCUGAAGCUCGAAAGUGCGGGUAUCGAACAGG